ensembl:lncRNA
CGGUUUCUUCCUCGUAGCCCUCCUGCGAGAUAAUGUCCUAUGAGUGGGGAAACUGAGGCACGGCAGGAUUGAAGAAGCUGUCCAAGGCCAUGCAGAGCCAAAGAGGAAGUCACAAAAGGAACUUCUCUCCUGGAUUUACUUCUGACUUCCUGGGAAGAAGUGAUUAUUGAAGCAGAAGUACUGGCGCUCCUGGAAAUCAGAGAGUGGCUUUCACACACAGGAUUAAAAUCCCCAAGAAAAACCAUGUCACAAAAGCUCUGACAUGGGCUCUAAAUGGGCACACCAUUCUCAGAAUUUCACAGGAGAGUGAGGUGCAAUCCCACAACCAAGCAACCUGAAGGAGAACACAGCGCAAGCAGGAUGGGCAUAUCUCAUAAUUGGAAUUCUGAGGCUACAAGAAAGAGUAGGGAUCUUGAUAAGGAGUAAAAAGAAUUGGGAUUCAAAAACGCCAAUAUGACUGCAUAGAGGAUCCGUAACUUCUCCUGCACCAGCUUAGGCAGAAGGCUCAGCAC